CUAAUGUCGCAUUCAAAGAAAUUUUUAAAAAUUAUUUCAAAUAUUGGGGUUCAAUUGUCGGUGGAGUUCUUCUGUCGGCAACUCAGCCAAACUAGCAACUACCAAUUACCCUUGUUAGAUGUCGCUGGCAUCGCUUUGUUUUCUUGUCACGUCAAAAGUUCUUGCUGCUUUUCAUGCUGCUUUCUUCGUGAUUUUCUUUAUGUUUUGGGAAUAAAUUCAACGCCGUUUAAAAUGCGUGUCUAAUAGAUGGCGUGUUAAUUGUUUGUGUCAGUUUUGGGCUUAUGGCGGUUUGCUGUCAAGAGUUAAGCUAUCUUUUCUUCGAAAAUUACCAAUGUAUUUACAGGAGAAAACGUGUUGAAAGCGUCGUGCAGCUUACUGCUGUCAACCAUUUAUGUGUUCAAAAUCAUUGUAUUCUACUGAAGGUGGCAUCAAAAUGAAACAGGAUUCAUCAUAAUUGUCUGCUGUUUGUAUUGGACUUGCUAAAUCGCCAAUCCCAGCCAUGCCCUGAUUUUGAGUGUUCUUCAUUACAGGUUUCUAACACAUUGGCAUGACAGAUUUGAUGAGAAGUCAUAUUUAGAAGGAAAAGGACAAGAACCAUACAGUCAACAAGGUUCCUUGUUUGCUAACCCGUUGGCUGCUACCCUUCAAUCUCCCUGUUUACUUUCUUACACAGGUCCUAUUGAUUUGAGGGUAACUCUUUCGCUACUGAUGACAUCAACUGUUAUAAACUGACGAGAGAAUGCUGCAAUUCAAGACUGAUGCAUUGUGUAGUUGUUAGAUAAAUUGCAAGUGCAUAUCUGGGCUCCCUUCUUUUCUGUGGCCCCGUUUCCC